UACAGAGGGUGCAAGCGUUGUUCGGAAUUAUUGGGCGUAAAGGGAGUGUAGGCGGUUUGUUAAGUCUUCUGUGAAAUCUACGGGCUUAGCCUGUAAAGUGCAGAGGAAACUAGCAGGCUUGAGUGUCGGAGAGGAUAGGGGAAUUCCCGGUGUAGAGGUGAAAUUCGUAGAGAUCGGGAGGAACACCAGUGGCGAAGGGCGCCUAUCUGGCUGACAACUGACGCUGAGACUCGAAAAGCAUGGGGGAGCAAAACAGG
rnacentral:rRNA from 1 species